rnacentral:rRNA from 1 species
AGAGUUUGAUCCUGGCUCAGAUUGAACGCUGGCGGCAGGCCUAACACAUGCAAGUCGAACGGUAGCACAGAGAGCUUGCUCUUGGGUGACGAGUGGCGGACGGGUGAGUAAUGUCUGGGAAACUGCCUGAUGGAGGGGGAUAACUACUGGAAACGGUAGCUAAUACCGCAUAACGUCGCAAGACCAAAGAGGGGGACCUUCGGGCCUCUUGCCAUCGGAUGUGCCCAGAUGGGAUUAGCUAGUAGGUGGGGUAACGGCUCACCUAGGCGACGAUCCCUAGCUGGUCUGAGAGGAUGACCAGCCACACUGGAACUGAGACACGGUCCAGACUCCUACGGGAGGCAGCAGUGGGGAAUAUUGGACAAUGGGCGCAAGCCUGAUCCAGCCAUGCCGCGUGGGUGAAGAAGGCCUUCGGGUUGUAAAGCCCUUUUGUCCGGAAAGAAAAGCAUUCGGUUAAUACCCGGGUGUUCUGACGGUACCGGAAGAAUAAGCACCGGCUAACUUCGUG